rnacentral:rRNA from 1 species
AUUGAACGCUGGCGGCAGGCCUAACACAUGCAAGUCGAGCGGAUGAAGGGAGCUUGCUCCUGGAUUCAGCGGCGGACGGGUGAGUAAUGCCUAGGAAUCUGCCUGGUAGUGGGGGAUAACGUCCGGAAACGGGCGCUAAUACCGCAUACGUCCUGAGGGAGAAAGUGGGGGAUCUUCGGACCUCACGCUAUCAGAUGAGCCUAGGUCGGAUUAGCUAGUUGGUGGGGUAAAGGCCUACCAAGGCGACGAUCCGUAACUGGUCUGAGAGGAUGAUCAGUCACACUGGAACUGAGACACGGACCUGACUCCUACGGUAGGCAGCAGUGGGGAAUAUUGGGCAAUGGGCGAAAGCCUUGUCCAGCCAUGCCGCGUGUGUGAAGAAGGUCUUCGGAUUGUAAAGCACUUUAAGUUGGGAGGAAGGGCAGUAAGUUAAUACCUUGCUGUUUUGACGUUACCAACAGAAUAAGCACCGGCUAACUUCGUG